rnacentral:rRNA from 1 species
AGUCGAACGAACUCUGGUAUUGAUUGGUGCUUGCAUCAUGAUUUACAUUUGAGUGAGUGGCGAACUGGUGAGUAACACGUGGGAAACCUGCCCAGAAGCGGGGGAUAACACCUGGAAACAGAUGCUAAUACCGCAUAACAACUUGGACCGCAUGGUCCGAGUUUGAAAGAUGGCUUCGGCUAUCACUUUUGGAUGGUCCCGCGGCGUAUUAGCUAGAUGGUGGGGUAACGGCUCACCAUGGCAAUGAUACGUAGCCGACCUGAGAGGGUAAUCGGCCACAUUGGGACUGAGACACGGCCCAAACUCCUACGGGAGGCAGCAGUAGGGAAUCUUCCACAAUGGACGAAAGUCUGAUGGAGCAACGCCGCGUGAGUGAAGAAGGGUUUCGGCUCGUAAAACUCUGUUGUUAAAGAAGAACAUAUCUGAGAGUAACUGUUCAGGUAUUGACGGUAUUUAACCAGAAAGCCACGGCUAACUACGUGCCAGCAGCCGCGGUAAUACGUAGGUGGCAAGCGUUGUCCGGAUUUAUUGGGCGUAAAGCGAGCGCAGGCGGUUUUUUAAGUCUGAUGUGAAAGCCUUCGGCUCAACCGAAGAAGUGCAUCGGAAACUGGGAAACUUGAGUGCAGAAGAGGACAGUGGAACUCCAUGUGUAGCGGUGAAAUGCGUAGAUAUAUGGAAGAACACCAGUGGCGAAGGCGGCUGUCUGGUCUGUAACUGACGCUGAGGCU